rnacentral:rRNA from 1 species
CCUCCGGGAGGCUGCAGUGGGGAAUAUUGCACAAUGGGCGAAACCCUGAUGCAGCGACGCCGCGUGAGUGAAGAAGUUUUUCGGUAUGUAAAGCUCUAUCAGCAGGGAAGCAAAUGACGGUACCUGACUACGAAGCCCCGUCUAACUACGUGCCAGCAGCCGCGGUAAUACGGAGGGUGCAAGCGUUAUCCGGAUUUACUGGGGGUAAAGGGGGCGUAGGCGGCAGAGCGAGUCCGAAGUGAAAUCCCAUGGCUUAACCAUGGAACUGCUUUGGAAACUGGGCAGCUGGAGGGCAGGAGAGGUAAGCGGAAUUCGUGGUGUAGCGGUGAAAUGCGUAGAUAUUAGGAGGAACACCAGUGGCGAAGGCGGCUUACUGGCCUGUAACUGACGUUGAGGCUCGAAAGCGUGGGGAGCAAACAGGAUUAGAUACCCGUGUAGUC